UUGGUGGAAACUAGUGGUCUGCUAAGGUCC
rnacentral:piRNA from 1 species